rnacentral:rRNA from 1 species
CGACCCCUAAGGCGAGGCCGAAAGGCGUAGUCGAUGGGAAACGGGUUAAUAUUCCCGUACUUGGUGUUACUGCGAAGGGGGGACGGAGAAGGCUAUGUUGGCCGGGCGACGGUUGUCCCGGUUUAAGGCAAACAUAUCGUGAUCCGUCCGCUGGCUUACUGCCGCGAGAAAGAUAUUAUCCGUUUUGCUGAGGCCAAAGCCUUCCCUAUCACUCCUUGUAAUCUGUGCGGUUCGCA